CUAGGGGACUGCGGAGGGACAUUACACAAAUAUGAAGGCGGGCUGGAAUCUCUCGGGGUUACAGCCUUGCUGAAUUAUUCACCCUUGUCUUUUGCGUACUUCUUGUUUCCUUGGUGGGUUCGCCCACCACUAGGACAAACAUAAACCUUUUGUAAUUGCAAUCAGCGUCAGUAACAAAUUAAUAAUUACAACUUUCAACAACGGAUCUCUUGGUUCUGGCAUCGAUGAAGAACGCAGCGAAAUGCGAUAAGUAGUGUGAAUUGCAGAAUUCAGUGAAUCAUCGAAUCUUUGAACGCACAUUGCGCCCUUUGGUAUUCCAAAGGGCAUGCCUGUUCGAGCGUCAUUUGUACCCUCAAGCUUUGCUUGGUGUUGGGCGUCUUGUCUCUAGCUUUGCUGGAGACUCGCCUUAAAGUAAUUGGCAGCCGGCCUACUGGUUUCGGAGCGCAGCACAAGUCGCACUCUCUAUCAGCAAAGGUCUAGCAUCCAUUAAGCCUUUUUUCAACUUUUGACCUCGGAUCAGGUAGGGAUACCCGCUGAACUUAAGCAUAUCAAAGGCCGGGAGGAAGA
rnacentral:rRNA from 1 species